ACGGAGGAUGCAAGCGUUAUCCGGAAUGAUUGGGCGUAAAGGGUCCGCAGGUGGCAGUGUAAGUCUGCUGUCAAAGAAUGAGGCUUAACCUCAUCAAGGCAGUGGAAACUACACAGCUAGAGUACGGUCGGGGUAGAAGGAAUUCCUGGUGUAGCGGUGAAAUGCGUAGAGAUCAGGAAGAACACCGGUGGCGAAAGCGGCCUGCUGGGCUGUUGCUGACGCUGAGGCGCGACAGCGUGGGGAGCAAACAGGA
rnacentral:rRNA from 1 species